rnacentral:rRNA from 1 species
AACGAACGCUGGCGGCAGGCUUAACACAUGCGAGUCGAACGCCCCGCAAGGGGAGUGGCAGACGGGUGAGUAACGCGUGGGAACAUACCCUUUCCUGCGGAAUAGCUCCGGGAAACUGGAAUUAAUACCGCAUACGCCCUACGGGGGAAAGAUUUAUCGGGGAAGGAUUGGCCCGCGUUGGAUUAGCUAGUUGGUGGGGUAAAGGCCUACCAAGGCGACGAUCCAUAGCUGGUCUGAGAGGAUGAUCAGCCACAUUGGGACUGAGACACGGCCCAAACUCCUACGGGAGGCAGCAGUGGGGAAUAUUGGACAAUGGGCGCAAGCCUGAUCCAGCCAUGCCGCGUGAGUGAUGAAGGCCUUAGGGUUGUAAAGCUCUUUCACCGAUGAAGAUAAUGACGGUAGUCGGAGAAGAAGCCCCGGCUAACUUCGUG